ACGGAUCAAGAGAAAUCUCUACGGGUGCAACUGACCAAAUCUUUUUUGUUCUUUGUAAUUCGACUUUGAAAUGACAAAGCUACGUGCAAGAUAAUGAACUUAAAAGCCAAACAUUUGAUAAUUCGCCACCACCAGAAGUCAUCAUUUUCAUAUCAGUCAAUUUGUUAUCCUCCCUCUCUACAACCAGAAAAAAAGGAGAAACCACAUAUGAUAUCACAUCCCAACCAAGAACUCGAUCUCCUUUCUUCCUGCAACUAAUCAACUUUUGUCCAGGCCAAUGGAGGGGGGGAUGCACGUAACUGGAAAUCUGCUGCUGCCGCUCGCAGAAGAGAUGUUUAUUAGCUCAACAGGUGAGGGGGGGGGACCUAAUUUGCAGGAGAAGGGAUCACAGAUCACCUGAUUCAAAGAAGCCAAAGAGAGACCUGUUAAUUAAUUGAAUUCAAGAAACAAAUAUUAAUGGGGAUGCAUGUAAAUGUGUUCAGUAUUCAUGCUCUUUACCCCCCCCCC
rnacentral:lncRNA from 1 species